GCUAUUUUUAGAAUUGCCGGAUUGCACCACUAAAAACAGGUUAACGUCAUAACUGUUUUUAGAAGUUAGAGACUAUAAAACUAAAUGAUUUCAGCCCUGAUCUUAUAAGCAGCUUCGAAGCGAAACAAGCACGAGAUGAAAAACCAGACUUGUCAGUUGGAUCAAAAGGUCGUUGAAGAACAGAUCACUGAUUUUCGAUGCAAUCAGUGUGAAGAGACAUUCAAACACAAGAGAAACUUAGUAAGACACGAGCGAGAGAAGCAUAACCAGAAGGAGGUGUCACCUGCCUGAACUGUGAUAGGAGGUUUGCCAGGAAGCACGACCUCGAAAGGCAUGAUGAAAUAUGUCAAGCGGGUUCAUCAAAAAGAAAAUCCGACGAUGAAACCAGCAAAAAAGCUGAAACUUACUGAUGCAGAAAUCAUUGAAUAUGAGUUAACGAACAUUCCCCCAAAAAUGUAUGAUUAAUAUGAUGGACCGAUCCUGGGAGAUGAGRAAG